rnacentral:misc_RNA from 1 species
UGGCUUACCUCCUCAUUUAUGCGUCAUGACUUGUAUCGUCAUGAGCGUAUUGUGGGUUUCCUGUGUUGCAUACCUGACUGGUGGUAUCGUUUGGUUGAUCGAAGUCCCUUUUCGUCUUGUGUUGCCUUUGCGAAGCAUGACGAACCUCGAAGCAGUCUCUAUGUUCCACCAUGUUGAUGCUAGUGCUUCGAUGUUGUGGCCCAUUGAGUUUGCUUGGUCUWGUGGAUACAGAACAUGAUUUGGGCAUAGGGUCACUUGUGACUCUUGUUUUGUCCUUUACCAGUGUUCUUUAUAACGACGGUUCAUGCGCGCCUAGGCUCGUACCUGCGUGAUGUUCUUGUCGAAGAGGAAUGCUACCUGGUUGAUCCUGCCAGUAGUCAUAUGCUUGUCUCAAAGAUUAAGCC